rnacentral:rRNA from 1 species
GAUGAACGCUAGCGAUAGGCUUAACACAUGCAAGUCGAGGGGCAGCAUGGUCUUAGCUUGCUAAGACUGAUGGCGACCGGCGCACGGGUGCGUAACGCGUAUGCAACUUGCCUCACAGAGGGGGAUAACCCGUCGAAAGACGGACUAAUACCGCGUACACUUGGGAUAGGGCAUCCUGACCCAAGGAAAUGAACUUCGCUGUGAGAUAGGCAUGCGUCCCAUUAGCUAGUUGGUGAGGUAACGGCUCACCAAGGCGACGAUGGGUAGGGGAACUGAGAGGUUGAACCCCCACACUGGGACUGAGACACGGACCAGACUCCUACGGGAGGCAGCAGUGAGGAAUAUUGGUCAAUGGGCGAGAGCCUGAACCAGCCAAGUCGCGUGAAGGAUGACUGUCUUAUGGAUUGUAAACUUCUUUUAUACGGGAAUAACAAGAGCCACGUGUGGCUCCCUGCAUGUACCGUAUGAAUAAGCAUCGGCUAACUCCGUG